UACGUAGGGUGCGAGCGUUGUCCGGAAUUAUUGGGCGUAAAGGGCUCGUAGGCGGUUUGUCGCGUCGGGAGUGAAAACUCAGGGCUUAACCCUGAGCUUGCAGUGGGUACGGGCAGACUAGAGUGCGGUAGGGGAGACUGGAAUUCCUGGUGUAGCGGUGAAAUGCGCAGAUAUCAGGAGGAACACCGAUGGCGAAGGCAGGUCUCUGGGCAUUAACUGACGCUGAGGAGCGAAAGCAUGGGGAGCGAACAGG
rnacentral:rRNA from 1 species